UCAAAAAGGGUGUCGGGGCUGAGCGGGAUAUGGUUGAGUGUGAGGAACUCGGGUGUCAAGUUGUCCACUUGGAAAUUACUGAUCCUAACAUAGAAGACUCUCAAAUCAAGCCAGGAUGAUGAGUACGCUUUAACACGAGGCUGGUGACGUGAGAAUCUUGCAAGUUGAAGUUCAUUAUCGAUAGAUUCGACUUUUGGUAGUGUCUCAACAGCACCCUCCAUGGUUAAAGGAGCUCAAUCCCUACCCAAACUUAUUGAAGUGGCAACAACAUGGGAGAGAUUGUCCAAAAUAGACCAAAAGGCGAAUCUAGGUUGUCUCACAAUUCAACCCUGAUUAAACGUAUUGAAUCACAAAUUCUGUACUGAUUGCCUGCAGCAAAUCGAACAAACCUACAUCACACGAAAUAGGGCCAGCCAAGAAACUCUUGGUACGUCAAAUCCAGCAUUCAAAGUCUCGAUAAAGACUAAUAUCUAUAGGUACCCCUCUGCUUGUGCUUAGAGUGUCCUCAAAUCGCUUUCAAGCUACACGAUUAAAGCUUUUGAUCCCAAUCCAAGAGCGAG
rnacentral:misc_RNA from 1 species